rnacentral:rRNA from 1 species
CCUACGGGAGGCAGCAGUGAGGAAUAUUGGUCAAUGGCCGGAAGGCUGAACCAGCCAAGCCGCGUGAAGGACGAAGGUGCCAAGCAUUGUAAACUUCUUUUGUCAAGGGACAAAAUCAGGCUCGAGAGCCUGACCGAGGGUACUUGAAGAAAAAGCAUCGGCUAACUCCGUGCCAGCAGCCGCGGUAAUACGGAGGAUGCGAGCGUUAUCCGGAUUUAUUGGGUUUAAAGGGUGCGUAGGCGGAUGGUUAAGUCAGCGGUAAAAGCCCGGGGCUCAACCCCGGCGAGCCGUGGAAACUGGCUGGCUUGAGAGGGCGGGAGGUAUGCGGAAUGCGUAGUGUAGCGGUGAAAUGCUUAGAUAUUGCGAAGAACUCCGAUUGCGAAGGCAGCAUACCGGCGGCGAUCUGACGCUGAGGCACGAAGGCGUGGGUAUCGAACAGGAUUAGAUACCCUAGUAGUC